AGCGAACGCUGGCGGCAGGCCUAACACAUGCAAGUCGAACGAACCUUUCGGGGUUAUUGGCGGACGGGUGAGUAACACGUGGGAACGUGCCUUUAAGGUCGGAAUAACUCAGGGAAACUUGUGCUAAUACCGAAUGUGCCCUUCUGGGGAAAGAUUUAUCGCCUUUAGAGCGGCCCGCGUCUGAUUAGCUAGUUGUUUGAGGUAAUGGCUCACCAAGGCGACGAUCAGUAGCUGGUCUGAGAGGAUGAUCAGCCACAUUGGGACUGAGACACGGCCCAAACUCCUACGGGAGGCAGCAGUGGGGAAUCUUGCGCAAUGGGCGAAAGCAUGACGCAGCCAUGACGCGUGAAUGAUGAAGGUAUUAGGAUUGUAAAAUUCUUUCACCGGGGACGAUAAUGACGGUACCCGGAGAAGAAGCCCCGGCUAACUUCGUG
rnacentral:rRNA from 1 species